AAUCUAAUUAAUAAUCUAAGUAAAUUGAAUUAUACCAGUGCUUAAACUACCGUAUAACUUAACGCUAAAGAGUGCAUAUAACCUAUUUUUCUGAAACCGAAUCAGAACCGCUGCCAAUAAAUAUCUACUACGCCGGAAUUUCUAAGACCCUUCGGGAAUUACACUAGGGGAAGUAAACGUAAGUGCGAAUUACCUUAUUCUAAACAAUCCCAAAUUACAAAAAUAUGCUAUGUCCUAUUGCUACUUAUGCUAUAACUAUUAUCUAUAUUACAAUGA